rnacentral:rRNA from 1 species
GUGAGGAAUAUUGGGCAAUGGGCGCAAGCCUGACCCAGCCAUGCCGCGUGAAGGUAGAAGGCCCUAUGGGUUGUAAACUUCUUUUAUACGGGAAGAAACUUCCGAACGUGUUCGGAAUUGACUGUACCGUAGGAAUAAGCAUCGGCUAACUCCGUGCCAGCAGCCGCGGUAAUACGGAGGAUGCAAGCGUUAUCCGGAUUUAUUGGGUUUAAAGGGUGCGUAGGCGGAAUGAUAAGUCAGUGGUGAAAGCCUGCGGCUUAACCGUAGAACUGCCAUUGAUACUGUUGUUCUUGAGUAUAGUUGAGGUGGGCGGAAUGUGUAAUGUAGCGGUGAAAUGCUUAGAUAUUACACAGAACACCGAUUGCGAAGGCAGCUCACUAAGCUGUUACUGACGCUGAGGCACGAAAGCGUGGGGAGCAAACAGGAUUAGAAACCCGUGUAGUCC